rnacentral:rRNA from 1 species
CGAACGCUGGCGGCAGGCCUAAUACAUGCAAGUCGAACGGCUCUUCGGAGCAGUGGCGGACGGGUGAGUAACGCGUGGGAAUGUGCCCUUAGGUACGGAACAACACAGGGAAACUUGUGCUAAUACCGUAUGUGCCCUUCGGGGGAAAGAUUUAUCGCCUUUGGAGCAGCCCGCGUUGGAUUAGGUAGUUGGUGAGGUAAAGGCUCACCAAGCCGACGAUCCAUAGCUGGUCUGAGAGGAUGACCAGCCACACUGGGACUGAGACACGGCCCAGACUCCUACGGGAGGCAGCAGUAGGGAAUCUUGCGCAAUGGGCGAAAGCCUGACGCAGCCAUGCCGCGUGUAUGAUGAAGGUCUUAGGAUUGUAAAAUACUUUCACCGGGGAAGAUAGUGACGGUACCCGGAGAAGAAGCACCGGCUAACUACGUGCCAGCAGCCGCCGUGA